rnacentral:rRNA from 1 species
CGAGUGGACAUGCGCCGACAAUAUACGGGGCUAAGCAUUGUACCGAAGCGGCGGAUCAGUACUAUGUACUGGUGGUAGGAGAGCUUUCUGUACGGGUUGAAGCAGUUGGAUAACCAACUGUGGACUGUCCAGAAGUGAGAAUGCUGGCAUGAGUAACGAGAGACAUGUAAAAAACAUGUCCGCCGUAAACCCAAGGUUUCCUGGGCAAGGCUAAUCCUCCCAGGGUUAGGCGGGAGCUAAGGCAAGGCCGGAAGGCGUAGUCGAUGCACAACAGGUAGAAAUUCCUGUCCCUCCAAAAGAGCGUUAUCACCAAUGGGGUGACGGAGCAGGGUAGCUAGGCGGGGUUCUGGACGUCCCCGUGAUGGCACGUAGGCUGAGAAGUAGUGAAAUGCGCUUCUCGUGAUGGCUGAGGUGUCGGACGAAGCAAUUGAGUGAAGCUGGUAAGCCCAUACUUCCAAGAAAAACCUCUAGGGAGCUCUGAGGAGCCCGUACCGCAAACCGACACAGGUGGGUGGGUAGAGCAUACCAAGGCGAUCGGGAGAACUAUGGUUAAGGAACUCGGCAAAAUUGCCCCGUAACUUCGGGAGAAGGGGUGCCGGUUUCGGUGAAGGGAUUUACUCCCCGAGCUAAGAUCGGUCACAGUAAAUAGGUCCAAGCGACUGUUUAUCAAAAACACAGGACUCUGCUGAAGUCGUAAGACGACGUAUAGGGUCUGACGCCUGCCCGGUGCCGGAAGGUCACGAGGAGUUGUUAGCAUUAGCGAAGCAGCGAAUCUAAGCCCCGGUAAACGGCGGCCGUAACUAUAACGGUCCUAAGGUAGCGAAAUUCCUUGUCGGGUAAGUUCCGACCUGCACGAAAGGCGUAACGAUUUGGACGCUGUCUCAACCAUAGACCCGGUGAAAUUGCACUAGUCGUGAAGAUGCGACUUACCCGCAGAAGGACGGAAAGACCCCGUGAACCUUUACUGCAGCUUGACAUUGGCUGCCGGUUCGUCGUGUAGAGGAUAGGUGGGAGACGCCGAACCAGGGACGCCAGUCCCUGGGGAGUCACCCUUGGAAUACCACCCUCGACGUUCUGGCAUCCUAACCCCGCGCCGUGAUCCGGGCGGGGGACCGUGUCAGGUGGGUAGUUUGACUGGGGCGGUCGCCUCCUAAAGAGUAACGGAGGCGCACAAAGGUCUGCUCAGCCUGGUCGGCAACCAGGCCGCUGAGUGCAAGAGCGCAAGCAGGCUCGACUGCGAGGCCCACGAGCCGAGCAGGGACGAAAGUCGGUUCUAGUGAUCCGGCGGCCCAGAGUGGAAUGGCCGUCGCUCAACGGAUAAAAGGUACUCCGGGGAUAACAGGCUGAUCUUCCC